rnacentral:snRNA from 1 species
GUACUUACCUGACAAGAGAGAUACAAUGAUGAUGAAGAUAUAUUUCAAAAGACGAAGCUUAUCUAUUGCAUUCCAGAUGUGUUGACCACUUCAAUUACCCCAAAUGCAGGAAAUUCAACAGCAUAAUUUGUGGUAAUGGACUACUAUGUCCAA